rnacentral:rRNA from 1 species
GGGGAAUAUUGCACAAUGGGCGCAAGCCUGAUGCAGCCAUGCCGCGUGUGUGAAGAAGGCCUUCGGGUUGUAAAGCACUUUCAGCGGGGAGGAAGGCGGUAAGGUUAAUAACCUUAUCGAUUGACGUUACCCGCAGAAGAAGCACCGGCUAACUCCGUGCCAGCAGCCGCGGUAAUACGGAGGGUGCAAGCGUUAAUCGGAAUGACUGGGCGUAAAGCGCACGCAGGCGGUCUGUUAAGUUGGAUGUGAAAUCCCCGGGCUUAACCUGGGAACUGCAUUCAAAACUGACAGGCUAGAGUCUUGUAGAGGGGGGUAGAAUUCCAGGUGUAGCGGUGAAAUGCGUAGAGAUCUGGAGGAAUACCGGUGGCGAAGGCGGCCCCCUGGACAAAGACUGACGCUCAGGUGCGAAAGCGUGGGGAGCAAAC